CAAGGAAUUUUCCGCAAUGGGCGCAAGCCUGACGGAGCAACGCCGCGUGCGGGAUGACGGCCUUCGGGUUGUAAACCGCUUUUGGGGGGGACGAUAUAGACGGUACCCUCCGAAUCAGCCCCGGCUAACUCUGUGCCAGCAGCCGCGGUAAGACAGAGGGGGCAAGCGUUGUCCGGAUUUACUGGGCGUAAAGCGCACGCAGGCGGUUGGGCCAGUGGUGUGUGAAAGCGGUCGGCUUAACUGACCGAGGCCAUGCCAAACUGCCCGACUGGAGCCAUGCAGAGGUCGAUGGAAUUGCCGGUGUAGUGGUGAAAUGCGUAGAGAUCGGCAGGAACACCAAGGGAGAAAUCAGUCGACUGGGCAUGGGCUGACGCUGAGGUGCGAAAGCGUGGGGAGCAAACUGG
rnacentral:rRNA from 1 species